AGAUUUGUCGCAAAGUAACUAUUCUGUGAAAUGCAACUUACUUCUUAUGUUGUGAAACAUACACGCCACGUUACAGUUAUAAUAGUAUAAGUUAGGUAUGCCCUUAUAAAGACUUAGGUAACGCUAAGGACUAUACUAUUAUAACUCUU
rnacentral:ncRNA from 1 species